GGAGAGGUGUCCGAGUGGCUUAAGGAGCACGAUUGGAAAUCGUGUGUGGACUUAUACUCCACCGGGGGUUCGAAUCCCCCCCUCUCCGCCA
rnacentral:tRNA from 1 species